rnacentral:lncRNA from 1 species
UGUUAUUACAAAAUCCAGCUGCGAGAACAGCGACUCCUGCAAUGGUAACUAGAAAUAAGAUCAGAUUGGGAGGCAUAAGGAAGGAAGACAAGACCGCCAUGCCAGCUUAUUGACAGGUACAGUCACUAUGUCUUCUUGUCUUCUCAGUCCAAAAUCAAAAUACAAGCAUUGACACAUGGUCAGACACUAAAACAGAAGGUUUGAAAUCAGGGCUGUUUCCAGAAACUCCAGGACAUAUGGAUGCUGCAAAUAUACGGAGGAGAGAGUGACUCUCAUGAACAUGUAGGGUAUCAAUGGUGCUGCCACUGAGAGAAAUGGAAGACCUGGGGAGGAAGGUUGGCUUGGACAGAAAGAUGUUUUUAGUCUGAUCCAUGUGGUUGAAACUGAUGUGGGCCACAGCAUGAUCUAGCAAGGCUGGAAGCUAUUCAGGAGCCACUGACCUAGAAGUGGAAACGACAAUAGGGAGGGGAGAGAGAAGGGCCAGGGUGUAGUCGUCAAGGUUUGUGUUUUAAGGAGCCAGCUCAUUUUAUUAAAUUGCAUACAUCAAUAAGUAAUAUCCAGGAAAGAAGAGAACUAGAAACCUCUCCCUGGUGUGGUGUACUAUUAAGCAUGCAAGUUUCUGCUGACUUUGCAUCCUCUCUGCCUUCACAUCAUGGGAAUUCGUGACCAGAAGCCUUCAGCCUGCACCCCUCCACCCAUCCCAGGGUUUCACCAUAAUUACUCGGGACUCUCAAACAUCUGUGCAUCAAUCAGCUGCCCAUCAUACUUGCUCACCCCUUCCAGUCUCUGGGAAAGCAACUUAUUAUCCAAUGUGGAAGGUCUUGUUCUUGAUAAGGUUGGUGUCAGGAGAGGCCUGGGGUCAUAGGACCAGACUGCAAACAACACAAUCCCAGAAUAAAUCCUAUUAAUUUGGCAUAAUUGAUGAAAAUGAAGAUUAGAUAUUUGACCAGAGAUGAGAAAUUCAUGGGCAUGAAUGCUGCAGCUCUGAUUACUUUGCAUGUGAAUGUGUGGAAAGUGCUAGCUUGUGUAAUGAUUUUUCAGAUGAAAUGAAAGCAGGACGAGGCUGUCAGCCCUGAAUACUUGUGACUUUUAGACUAAAGUCCUUGGCAUCAGCCAGCACUGCAGGAUGGAGCAGGUGAGGUUCAGCAACCCUGUGAAGGGAGGCUAGGGUAUUACCCGCACCCUUUAACAGCAGACUGAGUAUAUAAACUCUCACUAGACUGGAAGUGAGUGA